AAAAGAUUAGUUUAAAUAAAACAUUAGCUUGUCAAGUUAAAAAUAUUAAUAUUAAUACCUUUUA
rnacentral:tRNA from 1 species